ensembl:ncRNA F42H10.13 ncRNA
GUGGCAACUUUGUUGUCGAAGAGUCAAGUCUCCUGUUGAGCAAGCGUUUCCCUCAACUCUCAUUGCUCAUCAAAAAAGACAAC